rnacentral:rRNA from 1 species
ACGAAGGGUGCAAGCGUUACUCGGAAUUACUGGGCGUAAAGCGUGCGUAGGUGGUUCGUUAAGUCUGCCGUGAAAGCCCCGGGCUCAACCUGGGAAUGGCGGUGGAUACUGGCGGACUAGAGUGCGGUAGAGGGUGGUGGAAUUCCCGGUGUAGCAGUGAAAUGCGUAGAUAUCCGGAGGAACACCGGUGGCGAAGGCGGCUUCCUGGACCGACACUGACGCUGAGGCGCGAAAGCUAGGGGAGCAAACGGGA